GACGAAGGUGGCGAGCGUUGUUCGGAAUCACUGGGCAUAAAGCGCACGUAGGCGGUGUCAUAAGUCGGGUGUGAAAUCCCUCGGCCUAACCGAGGAACUGCGCCCGAUACUGUGAUGCUUGAGGACCAGAGGGGUGCAUGGAAUUUCCGGUGGAGCGGUGAAAUGCGUUGAUAUCGGAAGGAACUCCGGCGGCGAAAGCGAUGCACUGGCUGGUUUCUGACGCUGAGGUGCGAAAGCCCAGGGGAGCAAACGGG
rnacentral:rRNA from 1 species